rnacentral:rRNA from 1 species
AGCGAACGCUGGCGGCAGGCUUAACACAUGCAAGUCGAGCGGGCCCUUCGGGGUCAGCGGCGGACGGGUGAGUAACGCGUGGGAACGUGCCCUCUGGUCUGGAAUAACCCUGGGAAACUAGGGCUGAUACCGGAUACGCCCUUUUGGGGAAAGGCUUGCUGCCGGAGGAUCGGCCCGCGUCUGAUUAGCUAGUUGGUGGGGUAACGGCCUACCAAGGCGACGAUCAGUAGCUGGUCUGAGAGGAUGAUCAGCCACACUGGGACUGAGACACGGCCCAGACUCCUACGGGAGGCAGCAGUGGGGAAUAUUGGACAAUGGGCGCAAGCCUGAUCCAUCCAUGCCGCGUGAGUGAUGAAGGCCUUAGGGUUGUAAAGCUCUUUUAUCCGGGACGAUAAUGACGGUACCGGAGGAAUAAGCCCCGGCUAACUACGUGCCAGCCGCCGCCGUAA